rnacentral:rRNA from 1 species
UACGUAGGGGGCUAGCGUUGUCCGGAAUCAUUGGGCGUAAAGCGCGUGUAGGCGGUCCGGUAAGUCCGCUGUGAAAGUCGAGGGCUCAACCCUCGAAUGCCGGUGGAUACUGUCGGGCUUGAGUACGGGAGAGGCGAGUGGAAUUCCUGGUGUAGCGGUGAAAUGCGCAGAUAUCAGGAGGAACACCUAUGGCGAAGGCAGCACUCUGGGACGGUACUGACGCUGAGACGCGAAAGCGUGGGGAGCGAACAGG